rnacentral:rRNA from 1 species
CCCGGUUUGAUCUGCCCAGUGACUCCGUUCAACGGCCGCAGUAUUUUAACUGUGCUAAGGUAGCGUAAUCAUUUGCUUUUUAAUUGAGAGCUCGUAUGAACGAUUCAACGAGAAGUUAACUCUCUUAAAAGUCCAAAUAACUUACUCGGAAGGUAAAAAAGCCUUCUUCUCCCAACAGGACGACAAGACCCUACAAAACUUUACUCGACCCCGUAUUUUCCCUUUAAACGACUACCGAGUUUUGCUGGGGCGGCAAGUCUUAAUAAAAACAAUACUUCCCCUAACACCUUGAGUGAUAUCUACUAACCCUACUUCGUGAUAUAACUAAGUUACUUUAGGGAUAACAGCGUAAUGCUCCUUUAGAGCCCUUAUCGACAGGAGCGAUUACGACCUCGAUGUUGAAUUGAAGCACCUUCCUGGAGCAGCCUCCAAUUAAGGGAGUCUGUUCGACU